UACGUAGGGGGCAAGCGUUGUCCGGAUUUAUUGGGCGUAAAGAGCGUGUAGGCGGCUUGGAAGGUCAGCUGUGAAAACUCGAGGCUCAACCUCGAGACGUCGGUUGAAACCACCUGGCUAGAGUCCGGAAGAGGAGUGUGGAAUUCCCGGUGUAGCGGUGAAAUGCGCAGAUAUCGGGAAGAACACCCGUGGCGAAGGCGGCACUCUGGGACGGUACUGACGCUGAGACGCGAAAGCGUGGGGAGCGAACAGG
rnacentral:rRNA from 1 species